CGGGGACCGCGGGUUCGAGUCCCGGCCCCGCCGCUUCCGCCUCCGGGGCCGGGCCGGGGUCGCGCCGCUGCCAUGUCCUGCCACUUGCAGAAGCUUUUUGGGAGCGGCGGGGAGCUGGAGGAUGAGGAUUUCCUCUCCGCUGUGGAAGAUGCAGAGAACCAGUUUGUGAUCCCCGGGCAUUCCUCAGCCAGCAUCAUCCCGGUUCCUCCCAGUGAACCCCAUCCCAGUGAACCCCAUCCCAGUGAACCCCAUCCCAGUGAACCCCA